AGCAUAUCAAUAAGCGGAGGAAAAGAAACUAACAAGGAUUCCCCUAGUAACUGCGAGUGAAGUGGGAAAAGCUCAAAUUUAAAAUCUGUCAGUCUUUGACUGUCCGAGUUGUAAUCUAGAGAAGUGUUAUCUGUGCUGGACCAUGUAUAAGUCUCCUGGAAUGGAGCCUCAUAGAGGGUGAGAAUCCCGUCUUUGACAUGGACUACCAGGACUUUGUGAUACACUCUCAAAGAGUCGAGUUGUUUGGGAAUGCAGCUCAAAAUGGGUGGUAAAUUCCAUCUAAAGCUAAAUAUUGGCGAGAGACCGAUAGUGAACAAGUACCGUGAGGGAAAGAUGAAAAGAACUUUGGAAAGAGAGUUAAACAGUACGUGAAAUUGCUGAAAGGGAAACGCUUGAAGUCAGUCACAUUGGCCAGGGAUCAACCUUGCUUUUGCUUGGUGUACUUUCUGGUUGAUGGGUCAGUAUCAAUUUUGACUAUUGGAAAAGGAUCAGGGGAAUGUGGCAUCUUUGGAUGUGUUAUAGCCCUUGGUUGUAUACAAUGUUUGGGAUUGAGGAACUCAGCAUAUUAUUAUGUGCUUAGGAUGCUGGCAUAAUGGCUUUAAUCGACCCGUCUUGAAACACGGACCAAGGAGUCUAACAUGCCUGCGAGUGUUUGGGUGGAAAACCCGAGCGCGUAAUGAAAGUGAAAGUUGAGAUCCUUGUCUAUAGGAGCAUCGACGCCCGGACCAGACCUUUUGUGACGGUUCUGCGGUAGAGCAUGUAUGUUGGGACCCGAAAGAUGGUGAACUAUGCCUGAAUAGGGUGAAGCCAGAGGAAACUCUGGUGGAGGCUCGUAGCGAUUCUGACGUGCAAAUCGAUCGUCAAAUUUGGGUAUAGGGGCGAAAGACUAAUCGAACCAUCUAGUAGCUGGUUCCUGCCGAAGU
rnacentral:rRNA from 1 species